GGGGUUGUGGCUCAGAGUAGAGUGCUCACCUAUCAUGAGUGAGGCACUGGGUUCAAUCCUCAGCAUCACAU
rnacentral:tRNA from 1 species